rnacentral:rRNA from 1 species
AGCAGUCGCCACGGUAAUACGAGGGGGGCAAGCGUUGUUCGGAAUUAUUGGGCGUAAAGCGCACGUAGGCGGCUUGGUAAGUUAGAGGUGAAAGCCCGGAGCUCAACUCCGGAAUUGCCUUUAAGACUGCCGAGCUAGCAGGUGAGAGAGGUAAGUGGAAUUCCGAGUGUAGAGGUGAAAUUCGUAGAUAUUCGGAAGAACACCAGUGGCGAAGGCGGCUUACUGGCUCAUACUGGACGCUGAGGUGCGAAAGCGUGGGGAGCAAACAGGAUUAGAUACCCCUGUAGUCCCUGUCUCUUAUAA